rnacentral:rRNA from 1 species
UACGUAGGGGGCGAGCGUUGUCCGGAUUUAUUGGGCGUAAAGAGCUCGUAGGCGGUUCAACAAGUCGGUCGUGAAAGUUCAGGGCUCAACCCUGAAAUGUCGAUCGAUACUGUUGUGACUAGGAUACGGUAGAGGUGAGUGGAAUUCCGAGUGUAGCGGUGAAAUGCGUACAUAUUCGGAGGAACACCAAUUGCGAAGGCAGCUCACUGGGCCGCUAUCGACGCUGAGGAGCGAAAGCUAGGGGAGCAAACAGGAUUAGAUACCCUGGUAGUCCUAGCUGUAAACGAUGGAUACUAGACGUAGGAACUGGAUUGACGGUUUCUGUGUCGUAGCUAACGCGUUAAGUAUCCCGCCUGGGGAGUACGGUCGCAAGACUAAAACUCAAAGGAAUUGACGGGACCCCGCACAAGCGGCGGAGCAUGCGGCUUAAUUCGAUGAUACCCGUAGAACCUUACCUGGACUUGACAUAUAGGGUCUAGCUAUAGAGAUAUAGUGUGCAUUAGCGCCCUAUACAGGUGGUGCAUGGCUGUCGUCAGCUCGUGUCGUGAGAUGUUGGGAUAAGUCCCGCAACGAGCGCAACCCUUGUCCUAUGUUGCCAGCGUUUAGUCGGGGACUCAUAGGAGGCCGCCGGUGAUCAACCGGAGGAAGGCGGGGACGGCGUCAAGUCAUCAUGGCCCCUAUGUCCAGGGCUCACGCAUGCUACAAUGGCAAGUACAACGAGUCGCAAUACCGCGAGGUGGAGCAAAUCUGUGAAAGCUCGUUUCAGUUCGGAUAGGAGUCUGCAACUCGACUCCCAGAAGUCGAGUUCGCUAGUUAUCGCAGAUCAACAAAGCUGCGGUGAAUACGUUCUCGGGGUU